AGUGAACGCUGGCGGUAGGCCUAACACAUGCAAGUCGAACGGCAGCACAGUAAGAGCUUGCUCUUACGGGUGGCGAGUGGCGGACGGGUGAGGAAUACAUCGGAAUCUACUUUUUCGUGGGGGAUAACGUCGGGAAACUUACGCUAAUACCGCAUACGACCUACGGGUGAAAGCAGGGGAUCUUCGGACCUUGCGCGAUUGAAUGAGCCGAUGUCGGAUUAGCUAGUUGGCGGGGUAACGGCCCACCAAGGCGACGAUCCGUAGCUGGUCUGAGAGGAUGAACAGCCACACUGGAACUGAGACACGGUCCAGACUCCUACGGGAGGCAGCAGUGGGGAAUAUUGGACAAUGGGCGCAAGCCUGAUCCAGCCAUACCGCGUGGGUGAAGAAGGCCUUCGGGUUGUAAAGCCCUUUUGUUGGGAAAGAAAAGCAGCAGGUUAAUACCCCGCUGUUCUGACGGUACCCAAAGAAUAAGCACCGGCUAACUUCGUG
rnacentral:rRNA from 1 species